ACUAAGCGUACACGGUGGAUGCCCUGGCAGUCAGAGGCGAUGAAGGACGUGCUAAUCUGCGAUAAGCGUCGGUAAGGUGAUAUGAACCGUUAUAACCGGCGAUUUCCGAAUGGGGAAACCCAGUGUGAUUCGUCACACUAUCAUUAACUGAAUCCAUAGGUUAAUGAGGCGAACCGGGGGAACUGAAACAUCUAAGUACCCCGAGGAAAAGAAAUCAACCGAGAUUCCCCCAGUAGCGGCGAGCGAACGGGGAGCAGCCCAGAGCCUGAAUCAGUGUGUGUGUUAGUGGAAGCGUCUGGAAAGGCGCGCGAUACAGGGUGACAGCCCCGUACACAAAAAUGCACAUGCUGUGAGCUCGAUGAGUAGGGCGGGACACGUGGUAUCCUGUCUGAAUAUGGGGGGACCAUCCUCCAAGGCUAAAUACUCCUGACUGACCGAUAGUGAACCAGUACCGUGAGGGAAAGGCGAAAAGAACCCCGGCGAGGGGAGUGAAAAAGAACCUGAAACCGUGUACGUACAAGCAGUGGGAGCACGCUUAGGCGUGUGACUGCGUACCUUUUGUAUAAUGGGUCAGCGACUUAUAUUCUGUAGCAAGGUUAACCGAAUAGGGGAGCCGAAGGGAAACCGAGUCUUAACUGGGCGUUAAGUUGCAGGGUAUAGACCCGAAACCCGGUGAUCUAGCCAUGGGCAGGUUGAAGGUUGGGUAACACUAACUGGAGGACCGAACCGACUAAUGUUGAAAAAUUAGCGGAUGACUUGUGGCUGGGGGUGAAAGGCCAAUCAAACCGGGAGAUAGCUGGUUCUCCCCGAAAGCUAUUUAGGUAGCGCCUCGUGAAUUCAUCUCCGGGGGUAGAGCACUGUUUCGGCAAGGGGGUCAUCCCGACUUACCAACCCGAUGCAAACUGCGAAUACCGGAGAAUGUUAUCACGGGAGACACACGGCGGGUGCUAACGUCCGUCGUGAAGAGGGAAACAACCCAGACCGCCAGCUAAGGUCCCAAAGUCAUGGUUAAGUGGGAAACGAUGUGGGAAGGCCCAGACAGCCAGGAUGUUGGCUUAGAAGCAGCCAUCAUUUAAAGAAAGCGUAAUAGCUCACUGGUCGAGUCGGCCUGCGCGGAAGAUGUAACGGGGCUAAACCAUGCACCGAAGCUGCGGCAGCGACGCUUAUGCGUUGUUGGGUAGGGGAGCGUUCUGUAAGCCUGUGAAGGUGUACUGUGAGGUAUGCUGGAGGUAUCAGAAGUGCGAAUGCUGACAUAAGUAACGAUAAAGUGGGUGAAAAGCCCGCUCGCCGGAAGACCAAGGGUUCCUGUCCAACGUUAAUCGGGGCAGGGUGAGUCGACCCCUAAGGCAAGGCCGAAAGGCGUAGUCGAUGGGAAACAGGUUAAUAUUCCUGUACUUGGUGUUACUGCGAAGGGGGGACGGAGAAGGCUAUGUUGGCCGGGCGACGGUUGUCCCGGUUUAAGCGUGUAGGCUGGUUUUCCAGGCAAAUCCGGAAAAUCAAGGCCGAGGCGUGAUGACGAGGCACUACGGUGCUGAAGCAACAAAUGCCCUGCUUCCAGGAAAAGCCUCUAAGCAUCAGGUAACAUCAAAUCGUACCCCAAACCGACACAGGUGGUCAGGUAGAGAAUACCAAGGCGCUUGAGAGAACUCGGGUGAAGGAACUAGGCAAAAUGGUGCCGUAACUUCGGGAGAAGGCACGCUGAUACGUAGGUGAAGCGACUUGCUCGUGGAGCUGAAAUCAGUCGAAGAUACCAGCUGGCUGCAACUGUUUAUUAAAAACACAGCACUGUGCAAACACGAAAGUGGACGUAUACGGUGUGACGCCUGCCCGGUGCCGGAAGGUUAAUUGAUGGGGUUAGCGCAAGCGAAGCUCUUGAUCGAAGCCCCGGUAAACGGCGGCCGUAACUAUAACGGUCCUAAGGUAGCGAAAUUCCUUGUCGGGUAAGUUCCGACCUGCACGAAUGGCGUAAUGAUGGCCAGGCUGUCUCCACCCGAGACUCAGUGAAAUUGAACUCGCUGUGAAGAUGCAGUGUACCCGCGGCAAGACGGAAAGACCCCGUGAACCUUUACUAUAGCUUGACACUGAACAUUGAGCCUUGAUGUGUAGGAUAGGUGGGAGGCUUUGAAGUGUGGACGCCAGUCUGCAUGGAGCCGACCUUGAAAUACCACCCUUUAAUGUUUGAUGUUCUAACGUGGACCCGUGAUCCGGGUUGCGGACAGUGUCUGGUGGGUAGUUUGACUGGGGCGGUCUCCUCCUAAAGAGUAACGGAGGAGCACGAAGGUUGGCUAAUCCUGGUCGGACAUCAGGAGGUUAGUGCAAUGGCAUAAGCCAGCUUGACUGCGAGCGUGACGGCGCGAGCAGGUGCGAAAGCAGGUCAUAGUGAUCCGGUGGUUCUGAAUGGAAGGGCCAUCGCUCAACGGAUAAAAGGUACUCCGGGGAUAACAGGCUGAUACCGCCCAAGAGUUCAUAUCGACGGCGGUGUUUGGCACCUCGAUGUCGGCUCAUCACAUCCUGGGGCUGAAGUAGGUCCCAAGGGUAUGGCUGUUCGCCAUUUAAAGUGGUACGCGAGCUGGGUUUAGAACGUCGUGAGACAGUUCGGUCCCUAUCUGCCGUGGGCGCUGGAGAACUGAGGGGGGCUGCUCCUAGUACGAGAGGACCGGAGUGGACGCAUCACUGGUGUUCGGGUUGUCAUGCCAAUGGCACUGCCCGGUAGCUAAAUGCGGAAGAGAUAAGUGCUGAAAGCAUCUAAGCACGAAACUUGCCCCGAGAUGAGUUCUCCCUGACCCUUUAAGGGUCCUGAAGGAACGUUGAAGACGACGACGUUGAUAGGCCGGGUGUGUAAGCGCAGCGAUGCGUUGAGCUAACCGGUACUAAUGAACCGUGAGGCUUAACC
rnacentral:rRNA from 1 species